UUGCAAAUGGAGGAAUCGUAGCCGAGAGAUGAUAAUCCAUCGGCUACGAUCUUUCUCAAAUCGUCCUUUUGCUUGUGAUUCUUGUUCUUCUCGACGAUCAUCGCAGUAUCAGCUAGGAGGUUUCUUUCGUGAACAGUGGCACAGGGAGUCAAACUCUUAAGAAUAUCGGAGGCAUCGCCAGAUGAUCCAUUGCUGAUCGAUUCCCCAAAGCCACCACCAGCAAAUAUAUCAAAUUCAUCAUCGGAGCUGUCGUUAAUGUUCCCGUUAAAGCAAUUGCAUCGGUGACGGCCGCGAAACGGCUUCUCGUUGCUUUCCUCGAUGUAAUUCUGCACCAUUUUAGCCAAACAUACUGAGCUCGGCUCAAACUCCGUCCCGGCACCUCCUCCGUCCUUGGUCCCAUACUGUGCUUCACCAACGCUUGGCUUUUCGACCGAGGAAAUUCUCAACACACCGGGGAAUUGCCGGUCAAACAGCCUCUUCAGACGCGAUUUCAACACCGGCUUCACCGGUUCGGCCCUCGCCGGAACCGUUGUCUGACAGUCAAUAUCUAUGGGUUGGAUCUUCAUAGGAAAAGGCAUAACAGCUCUGAAGAUAUAGAAAAAGAGAAGACCCGAUCCUAAAGAUUGAAGGUUAGAAGUUAAAAUGGAUUGAAUGCUCUGGUUUAAGCUCUGCGUGUCAGUUCUGCUCCAUAUUCAGAGCUCUCUCAAAUACGUGGAUUGCAGAGACUCGCAGAUUUGCAGCAGAGUGACUAAUCAAUUACUUCUUCUGGUCCUGAUUCUUCCAGUACAUUUACAAAACCCAUGAACUAGACAAUUAAAAAAAUCAAUGCCACAGGCUAACAAUCAAAUUCAUGCACAUUUUACUCCCUCCAAUAAGCCACAACAGUAACGCCUUACCUAAGGAAGAAAAAGCAACAAAAAAAACCCUCAAAAUUGGAACCCUCAACAGGAUCACCACAUCCAAUCAAAAAGCCUCAGAAAAUUUUGAUCUAAUCCCAUGCACAAAAUUUCUGUGCAAGCAAAAUCCGGUACCUUCCCUC
rnacentral:misc_RNA from 1 species